rfam:Eubacterium sp. CAG:274 genomic scaffold, scf36
CCUAUGGAGAGUAUACAAAAUUGUGAGUAGAAAUGUUUCAAUAUUUUCAAAAACAUACUCUAAUGAAGUAGGAA